GGGGAACCAGGGGGCACAGCCACAUGAGCAGCACCAACCUGGCCCGUCCUGUCCUGUCCCAUCCUGCUUGGGCCCGUGCUCCCUACCCGGCUGCUCUCCGGAUUCUGGCAGUUUUGGAACCAGCUGUGGCAGUGAGAAGCCAGGAGCUGAACCCAGCACCCUCCAGUUUCUAAAGGGUGGGAUAUAGCUCACUCUCUCACCGCUGGUAUCUCCUGGCCCCUUGGCAGGCACUACUGCCCCUGUGUUCUCCCCCAUCCCAUGGUCUCCCCGUGCUAACCACCACCACCAUUGGUCCUACCGUGCAGCGCCGUGCUCCCCCUGCCCGUGCUGGGGCCAGCAGCCCCCAGGAGCUCAGCCACCCUGCAGUGCCAAGCCUGGCUGGGGGCGAGGAGCGGUCCCCAUGGGGCGGCAGCGCCCGUUUGUCCUCUCUGUCUGGGAGGGCCUGGCAGGGCCUGUGCUGCUGUGACAUCAACAGGCCUAAAUAUAUCCCUGGUGAAGAAUG